rnacentral:RNase_P_RNA from 1 species
AAACUCCACCCGGAGCAAGGCCAAAUAGGGGUUCACAUGGUACGGCCCGUACUGAACCCGGGUAGGCUGCUUGAGCCAGUGAGCGAUUGCUGGCCUAGAGGAAUGACUGUCCACGACAGAACCCGGCUUACCGGUCAGCUCCCUCU